AAGAAUUAACACUUUAGUUCUAUUUCUAUUGUUGAUGAUCAUAGUAGCCCUUUUACCAUUUUGUAUAAAUGACUUGUUCUAUUUGUACAGAUAGGGUGGAGGGGAACAUUUAAUUCUUUUUAUCUAUUAGUUUUCAGUUCUUAUCUUUGGCGUGUGGUAGAGCAAUCUGAUAGGCUCAUAACCUUGAGGUCAUGGAAAUUGCAGUUACUUUUCUAUCCUCAUUUUGUAGUCAUAUUCCUUUGUACAUAACAUGUUUGAUGAAAGUUAUGUUCAAAUUAUUAGAAGAAUGAUCCAUUGAUUCUUAGUAAAUAUGUUAUCAAAUUCUGUAACAUCCUAAAUCAAUGGAUUACAAGUGCCGCUGAAAGAAACAAAAGGAAAAUGACCUCUUCAACUACGAUCGAUUGACAAGAAAGGAAAGUAGCAAUGACAAAAUAUGCAACUUCAGGCAAGAUGUUGAAACUAGGAUCACGACACAACUUGGUUACCCAAAUUUCUGUUUACAAAGCUUGCUUUUCAUGUGUGUUCUUCCCACAAUAUCCAUAAUAACCUUUAAUGCAGUCAUAUCCUUAGCUAUUCUUUGUUUAAGACAUCUAUUGAUACCUCUACCUUCUAUAUUAACCACUCCUAGUGGCUGCUUGGUAUCAUUCAUUGUUGAGUAAUUACUCCUGUAUAGAUCAUCUCUUAAACUAAUUUUGUCCACUCUAAACAAAUAACUUAUUUGUCAGAAUCUUUUAGUUAUCGAUCUCACAAAUUAAAGAAGCCUAUGCUUGAUUGUGUGGUGCACCACAAAACAAGUAUAUAUUAUAUAUUUAUAUAUAUAGAAAAAAAAACAAUUAAGAUACUUGAUUACGCAAUGCCUAGUCAAAGUCAGAAGCAUCAAUAAUUCAAUUUUCAAUGUUCUUUAUAGUUUUUUUUUUCAUUUUAUGAAGAAAAAUAAAAAGUGCAAGAAUAAAGACGUUAACUUUUUUGGUAAAAUAAAAAAUUGUUCUCUUGGUUUAUGUCAAGGUUAUUAUUUAUUUAUUUAUUUAUUUUUCCCUCUCAAUUUUAAUGUUUUUAUUUCCAUUCGAAUUUCGAUAGCAAGUUGACAUAUUUUUAAUAUUACAUGCUAAUUUUUGUUUGAAAAUAACCAAGUAGUUCUUUGGUUAUUUUUACUUUAUUUACUAUUUUAAAAAUAAAUUUCAUUAUUAUUUGUCAUUUUUAACAUAUCAAAAAAAUAUAAUUAAAAAAAUCAUAUUUUGUUCUUACUAUUAAUUAUUUAUUUUUCAAUACCUAAUGUUAAACAUCAAUUCAUUGGUAAAAUAGUAAUGUCAAUAAUUAUUUUCCAAAUAAAUGUGCUAAAUUCAAAUGUGACAAGAAAAAGUAAAUGAAAGAAUUAUUAAAGAGAAAGCCACAAUUGAGAAAUGUGAACUUUUUUGACUUUUCGCUAGCAUUUGAUCAUAUAUUUCUAAACAUCUUUGACAAGUCAUUUUUGGGUGAAGUUUCAUGUAUUAAAUAUAAGUUUCUAAAAAAGUAAAAGAAAUAAUUUUGUUAAACAAAAAUGCACUGAAAAUGUGGUGCAAUAGAAAGAUCGAGUUUUUAACCUCUUGAUAUACAAUAAAACAACACAAAUAUGGGAUGAUUUUGAGUUUAUGUAAAAUCAAGUUCGUGACCAAAUCACCGAUAUAAGUUAUGGUGUAGUGAUAGAAUUGUUCUAAACCAAUUAUUAGGUUUGAACACUAGAUAUAAAGAAAAUUUCAUUGUAAACGUCACUUCCAAAUGAAUUCUACAGUGAGCAAUACUAAAAAGAAUAAUUUUUUUCAGAACCCACUUGACUAAGCUAUCAAAAAUUGUCUAUUUAAAAAAAAUAAAAAAUUAUCAAAAUAAUUAUAAAAAGUACUUUUGAACUAUAAUACUUAGUUUAUGUUUGAUCAAUUCAUUUCAAAUGUCACUUUAUAAUAUUCGAUAAAAGAAAUGCUAGGCCAAAUUUUACAUCAAGUGCUUCUCAGUAUUGGUUUACAAGAAAAAAAAAUUGCAUCAAGGUUCAGUUCACAAUUAGAAAUGAUUAAAAUAAAGGAAUAAAUUUAAAUACAUCAUGAAAUAUUUUAUUUGAUUUUUAUUUUAAUUAAAAUAUAAAUUAAAAACAUAUAUAUAUAUAUAUAUAUAUAUAUUUUUUUUUUNNNNNNNNNNNNNNNNNNNNNNNNNNNNNNNNNNNNNNNNNNNNNNNNNNNNNNNNNNNNNNNNNNNNNNNNNNNNNNNNNNNNNNNNNNNNNNNNNNNNNNNNNNNNNNNNNNNNNNNNNNNNNNNNNNNNNNNNNNNNNNNNNNNNNNNNNNNNNNNNNNNNNNNNNNNNNNNNNNNNNNNNNNNNNNNNNNNNNNNNNNNNNNNNNNNNNNNNNNNNNNNNNNNNNNNNNNNNNNNNNNNNNNNNNNNNNNNNNNNNNNNNNNNNNNNNNNNNNNNNNNNNNNNNNNNNNNNNNNNNNNNNNNNNNNNNNNNNNNNNNNNNNNNNNNNNNNNNNNNNNNNNNNNNNNNNNNNNNNNNNNNNNNNNNNNNNNNNNNNNNNNNNNNNNNNNNNNNNNNNNNNNNNNNNNNNNNNNNNNNNNNNNNNNNNNNNNNNNNNNNNNNNNNNNNNNNNNNNNNNNNNNNNNNNNNNNNNNNNNNNNNNNNNNNNNNNNNNNNNNNNNNNNNNNNNNNNNNNNNNNNNNNNNNNNNNNNNNNNNNNNNNNNNNNNNNNNNNNNNNNNNNNNNNNNNNNNNNNNNNNNNNNNNNNNNNNNNNNNNNNNNNNNNNNNNNNNNNNNNNNNNNNNNNNNNNNNNNNNNNNNNNNNNNNNNNNNNNNNNNNNNNNNNNNNNNNNNNNNNNNNNNNNNNNNNNNNNNNNNNNNNNNNNNNNNNNNNNNNNNNNNNNNNNNNNNNNNNNNNNNNNNNNNNNNNNNNNNNNNNNNNNNNNNNNNNNNNNNNNNNNNNNNNNNNNNNNNNNNNNNNNNNNNNNNNNNNNNNNNNNNNNNNNNNNNNNNNNNNNNNNNNNNNNNNNNNNNAAUUAUUUUAUUUUAAUUAAUUUAUUAUAUUUUUUUUUUUUAUAUUUUUUUUUUUCUAUUUUUUUAUUUUUUUUUAUCAGUAUAAAAUAUAACAAUACAAAUAUCAUGUAUUUGGUAUACUACAAAAGAAAUAAAAAUCAUACCUUGUAAAUAUAAUGACUCUCAUGGUCGUUCUUAGUUUUCUGCAGGUUUUCUUCUUUUUUAUUGAUCCUUUUCGUAAUUUCUAUAUAUCAUUUGUAAAUAGCAGGAAUGAGUGAUAUGAUUUCACGUGUGGACAAAUGAAUAUUGGAUGAAAUUUUCAGUUUUGAAGGUUUUGAGAAAUUUGACCAAAGUCAACAUUCUAGCUUAACAAACCCCAGUUGAGUUUUGACAAUUUUGUUAGGUUCGUAAGGAAGUUUUUGACGAUUCCAUUAGGUCUGGAAGAUAAUUUUUAACUUAGAUAAGUGGUUAACGAGAAUCUCAAGGCAUUCAGGAGUGGUUGGAGUCAUUGAUUGAAUUCUAGAAUUUUAAGUAAAUUAAAGUUGACUACGAUCAACUUUUUAGCAAGACAACCUUAAUUUGGUAAUUUGAUGAUUACAACAUGUGUGUAACGUGUUUUAAAGUCAAUCUGCAUAUUUUGUUUAUUUUCAAGGGUUUUAAAUGAUUUUUGAGGGUUUAUUUCGUGAUUUGAUUGAAUUCAAGCACUACUGAAUUGUUGUCAUAUGAUGUAGGUUGGUGUAUUUUUCGUGUUUAUUAGACCCUCGUUGUGUUUGCGAAGGACAUUGAGAUUGAUCAUUGCAAUUGAUGUGGGUCCAAUCACAAUCGCGUAGAAGGGGUUUAAUCGGGUUGGGCUUGAAUCGGAUCGCAUUCGCAGGGUUUGAAUUUGGGUCAACAUCAUGAUCGUGAAGGGACCAUCACGUUUGUGAUGAAGAAAAACACAUGAACAUAUUUUAACUUUUAAUUUUGAACUUAUAUUUCAUAACUCGAAUUUGGAAGAUUGAAAUCUUGGUUUUGGAUGAUUGCAACAAGGUUUCGCUCGAUUUCUUUGUGGGUAAAACUCUAAUCUCUUAAUAUGUUUUUCUUACUAACUCAUCAUUUAAUUUGUGAUGUAGGGAAAAUUAAAUUAAUCUUUCUUUGUGGGUAAAACUCUAAUCUCCCAUAAUAAUCUUUCUUUGACUCCUUAUGAAAUUUUAGUGUAUUGAUUUGCUAAAUUAAGGGGUCAUGGGUAAUUGGGGGAAUGUAUAUGUGGGUACCAAUUAGGUUGUUCAAAAUCGAAUAAAAAUUGAUAAUUCAAAUAGAAAAGUUAUCAAUUUAUCGGUAAUUAAUGGGUUAUUGAUUAAGCGGUUUCGAUAACGAAUUUUAAUUAUUUAUUAUCGUGUUAACGGUUCUUAAUGGGAGUGCGCUCUAGCUAGUUGAACUUAGAAUUUAAUUUCGUACUUUUAUUUCUGGUUGUCUUAAACUCUCGAUUAUUCAACAGUGUGUCAGUAUUUAUUUUUGAUCAAGUUGCAAUCUAUCAACUCAUGAGCAUGGUUCAUUUGGUUUGUACAUUGUUUCUAAGUGAUUUUCAAUGAUUUUUUGUGUGCCAAAUCUUAACGGUUAAAUCGAUAACUGAACCGAUAAUAACUGAUAAAUUGAUAACUGAUAAGUCAGUAUUUUAAUGGUUCUAUAAUGAUUUGACAUAUAUACAAAUCAAUAAUCGAUAACCGAUAAACUUUAAAAUUGAAUCGAACCGACCAACAUGCAAUCAUAGCACCGAUCGCAUCAUAUAGGUAAGUUAAUAAUUUUUAAGUAAGGACCAAAUUAGUUUCCCCUAUAAAUAAAGUAAUUUUCCUUCUUUGUAAAACAUACUUAUGAAAAAUAAGAAGUUUUAUAUCUUUCUCCGUGUAUCAUAUUCUUCUUAUCAUUUUAUAAUAUCCUAACCGAACAAUAUUUCUUGACAAUUUUGGAAUAAUUUUUCUAGGCAAAUAUAUUUUUCCUUCUGAUUUAACACAUGGUUCUAAAACAAUUUUAUGAUCAUCCAAGAGAAUCCCAUAGUUGGGUCUCAUCAAUUUAUCUCUAACUUAUAUAUAAUUCCUUCUUUCUUAAGCCUUAAACCAAAUGUGACGACCCGGAAGUAUCUAAGGCCUCAUCAGAUGGCCUAUGGUAAGUCAACCCAGAGUUUCUUCCCAACAGAGAAUACAAAGAGUGUUGAAUUAAUAUUGAAGUGAUUGAAAAUAAAAAUAAAAUGGGAAACAAAAGAAGUUAACUAAUGUUGGGGAAAAAAGAGGGUUUAUCUGUGAACUUAGCUUAUAGAUGUGAUUUAUAUAUUCUACGGCUAUCGAAUUGGGGUUGAGAGUUCAAGAAAUAGAGGAAUUUAUAAAUUCUUAUGAACUGAGUGAGUACAUUAAAUGAUUGAGUUGUAAACUUUAAUAUUCGAUUUGAUCUUGAUUUUAGGAUACCAAUUCUUCGAUUUAAUCAAAAUUUCAUUACAUAAGUUCGAGAAGUAAAAGUACCCCCAAAAAGUGUAACGACCUGCUAGGUCGUUUUGAGAACUAGGACUAUUUUAACUCUUUCCGUAAAAUUUAAAUGAAAAUUUUAAACUAUUCGAUAGUUACGAGUAUUUAGUUGACGAAUAUUUAGCCAAUAAUUAAUAGUUGAUAGUUAAUGGGCCAAGUACAUAAUAUCCUUUGUUUAAUACCUUUUUACCACUUGGCCCAUAUAUUGAUUUAAGUUAGUGCAACUUUCACAUAUAGCAAACACAAAAUUCAUAUUUGUAUGUUAUAGCAGAGUUUGCAUAAUUGCGCUCCAUAGCAAACAUAAAUAUGUAUAUUUCGAUAUACAUAUACAAAAGAGAGCAGUUGUAUAAUCUACUUUGGUAUACAUAUACAAAAAGAUCAAUUGUAUAAAAGUGAGAGAGGCGAGUGAGCGAGCGAGAUCUGGGAGAGUGGCGAGCGAGAUCUGGGAGAGGGGAACGAAAAUAUAUGUAUAUAUACAAUUUUCUCUCGCUUUAUACAAACACAAACGCAUUUUAUACAAUUUGCGUUUUUUGUAUAAAGUGAGAGAGGCGAGUGAGCGAGCGAGAUCUGGGAGAGUGGCGAGCGAGAUCUGGGAGAGGGGAACGAAAAUAUAUGUAUAUAUACAAUUUUCUCUCGCUUUAUACAAACACAAACGCACUUUAUACACUUGCGUUUGUAUAAAAAACGAGAGAGGCGAGGGAGAGAAUGAGAGUGGCGAGCGAGAUUCACCAGGAGAGAGGUGAAAUAGCAACAGUUUGCUAUGAGAUACAGUUAAAUCAAAUUAUAUUUAUAGCAUUUAAUUUGAAUUAAUAGUUUUCUAUUAUAUACAAUUUUCCCUUUUAAGUUAUAUGGGUGAUUAGCAUAACACCGGUAACAGAGUUAGGCAAAACGUGUGCGGGAAGAAGAGAAAUCGCAGACUCCAGGUAAAACAAUUUUACUUUCAGGCAAGUUGUGAAUUGUAUAAUGCAUAUGUUUAUUGUUACAAUGGGUGAUAAUUAUUAGGUAAUGAUUGCGGAGUUAUUAAAUGGGAAUUAAAGAACGUUGGGGAUUGGGUUUAAAUUGAUGGUUUCAUGAUUUAAGAGCAGGUUAUAGUUGAGUGAAAAUUGUGGAUUUCUUGUCACUGUUUUGGGGUUUUAUACUAGCUUAAGACUACAGUUUCAACUCCUUGAUCGGUGGUAUACAGCAAAUCACAAUAUGGAAUUUAAUUACUCCAUUUUGAUUUUGUUAGCAACUUAAACAGUUGGCAUAGGUAAUUUGCUUAUGACUAAAAUCAAUGUUGAUGCACUGUCACAUGAUAAAUGCUUUUGUUCCGCAACCGGUGAUUCUUGGUUAGAUUAAUGCUGGUUAAGUCUGAAUUUGCAUACAAUAGUAAGAAGCAGUUCCUUGGAUACAUGUCUGACGUACUUUUAGGAAGCCAAACAAUUUAAGAAUUUGUCAAUCAUGAGUCAAGUUUACAUUUAUUGAGAUAUGUAAUUAAAUAUUAGGUGUAUUAGAUCUUGUGAAUGUCACUAGAAUUAUGUUAUUUGAAGGACUUAAGACUUAGCCCUAGGCUUGAAUUAUACGAAAUAUAAGAUGUGACAUAUUAGUUGGCACCAAAUUUAGGAGCUUGAUUAUAGCAUUUUGAUUAGUUUCUAGUCUAGGUUAGACGUGUAGUAAUAUGAGUGUCUAUGAACUCGCUUACUUACGAAUAUUGCAUAAUUGGUAAUUUGGGAACAUUCUGAAGCUUUGCGAAAAGGGAAGGAAAAAUCUUGAGGAUUUAUGGCACGAGUUCGGCAUUCAAGGUAUGUUAAGACUUUCAGACUUCAUUGGAGGACGUUUUCCUAAUUUAAAGAUUAAAAAAUGGAAUAGACAAUGGGUAAGGGCGAAAGAUGAGGGUUUCGUACCAAUGAUGUGACGGGCAUUGGUACAAGUACCGGUGUUAUAAAGGGAAAGUUUAUUACUAUAGAAUGCGGAUUUUAAUCCGAGAAUGCCGAAGCAUAUGGGCAUUAGCUGAUAUAUUAUUGAAUGAUUAUUUUGUGUGAUUGUGUUCUUAUUUGAACCUGUAUACUUGUGAGAUGCAUCAUCAUCCCCUUUAUUUGAGAUUAUAUUAUGCAUAUGCAUUGACAUGAGAUUGAGUAUAAGUUGGGCACGUGGAGAUCGUCCGUGCUGGGAUGGUGAGGUGUUAAGAUUAUAUUUUGGGCACGUGGAGACCGUCCGUGCCGAAAUUAUUUGAUUUUAUGGUAGUGCGUUGAGAUUGUCCGCACAGACACGUGGAGAUCGUCCGUGUCGGUAUAUGGACCUCGCGAGUCCCCCAUGGGUCAUGAACUCUUGAUGUAUUUUCGAGGAGUAUCAUGUAUAUACGGUUGAGAAAGUACUUGGCAUUCUGAGGCAUAUUAUUUCAUGGUGUCACAUUGCACUGCAUCUCAUUACAUCAUUUAUUAUUAUUGAUUAAGUGCUUUAUUGGUGGUUGUACAUUGUGUGAAGUUUGAUUAUCCUUAUUUUGAUGAAACUCGACUGGUAAGCGUACUAUUGACUUGUAUAAGUAAAAGACUUAUUUUUAUUAUUUAAACUCCUGUCACUACUUCUUCGUUGUCGGUCUAUGAGAUAUACUGGGUACACGUGGUUUCGUACUCAUACUACACUUGUUGCACUCUUUUGUGGUGCAGAUUCGAUUCCGAGUACGAGCACAUCUCGUGGAGCUUUUUGAGUCCGAGCUUGGAGUAUCUUGGAGUUGUGGUGAGCUGCUUGGCUGUUUCAGGUUCACCAAUGCUUAGAUGAGACAACCCCUACAACGAGAAAUACUCCUAAAGUAAUUCCCAAAGAAGUAGAACUUGAACCUCUGGGUGAAGAUGAGUGGGAUGGCAAUAAGAUGCAUCAAUCCGCAGAUGAGACAACUCCUACAAAGAAAAACAUUCUUGGAUUGAUUCCGGAAGAAAUAGAGCUUGACAAUAUGGAAGAUGAGAGAAAUGGAAAUAAGAUGCAUUAAUGCGCAAAUGAGACAAUUCCCCCUACAAAGGAAAAUAUUCUUGGAGUGAUUCCCGAAGAAGUAGAGCUUAAAUGUCUAGCUAAGGGUGAGAAGGAUGUCAAUUAGAUACACCAAUGCUUAGAUGAGACAACCCCUACAAAGAAAAAUAUUCUUGGGGUGAUUCCCGAAAAAGUAGAACUUGAACCUCUGGCUGAAAAUGAGGAUGAGAAGCUUUCUUCGGACAAUGAAGAUUUCAGUGAUGGAGGGCCUCAGAAGAAAAGGGCUGAAAAGAAGACAUGCAUUUACAUGUAGUUGUACAUGUUUUCUUUUCAGCCCGUUUCUUCUGAGGCCCUUCAUCAUUGAAAUCUCCAUUGUCCGAAGAAAGGUACUCAUCCUCAUUUUCAACCAGAAGUUCAAGUUCUACUUUUUCAGGAAUCACCCCAAGAAUAUUUUUCUUUGUAGGGGUUGUCUCAUCUAAGCAUUGGUGUAUCUAAUUGACAUCCUUCUCACCCUUAGCUAGACAUUUAAGCUCUACUUCUUCGGGAAUCACUCCAAGAAUAUUUUCCUUUGUAGAGGGGAUUGUCUCAUUUGCGCAUUGAUGCAUCUUAUUUCCAUUCCUCUCAUCUUUAGCCAUAGGGUCAAGCUCUACUUCUUCCGGAAUCACUCCAAGAAUGUUUUUUUUUGUAGGAUUUGUCUAAUCUGCGCAUUGAUGCAUCAUAUUGCCAUCCCACUCAUCUUCACCCAGAGGUUCAAACUCUACUUCUUUGGGAAUCACUCCAGGAAUAUUUCUCGUUGUAGGGGAUGUCUCAUCUAAGCAUUGGUGAAUCUAAUUGACUUCCUUCUCGUCCUUAGAGAGAGGUUCAAGCUCUAUUUUCUCAGGAGUAACUCCAUGAAUAUUCUGCUUCAUAAGGGUUAUUUCAUCUGAGCAUCAAUGCAUUGGUGAGCUGCUUGGCUGUUCCGUGGCCCACACCUCCCUCUACCUUUUAUUUAUUUGGUUAUUUUAGUAUUCCGACAGAAUAUUCCUUAUGUUUGGAUUUGUCAUUUAGGUUCAGACUUGCAUCAUAUUUAGAGCCUCUUGUACUUAUGACACCAAUUCUUGGGUGGUAUUCUAGUGUUUCGCAUGUCGUAUUUAUUAAGAACUUAGUGUCUGAGAUUUUUACUCGUUGUUUACCUUUAUACCUUAUUAGUUAUUUAAGAUUGGUAAAAUAUGUUGGGUUGGCUUACCUAUUGGUUGGGAACAUAGGUACCAUCACGACUUGUGAAUUUGGGUCGUGACAUCAAAGCCCUAGGUUCAUCGGUCUCACGAGUACAAGAGCAAUGUCUAGUAGAGUCUUGUGGAUCGGUAUGAAGACGUCCAUACCUAUCUUCGAGAGGCUAUAGGAGAUUUAGGAAAUCAAAUUUCUUUCAUUCCUUAUCGUGCACACUUUACCUUGUUGAAAUUCUAAUCUUGAUAUCUCAUUCUCUCAGAUUUGUUUCAUUUUUGGAAUACAUUAAGAGAAACUCAAAAACCAAAUCAAAGUUUUAAAAGAAUGAACCGAACAUAUACCUUAGAUUAAUCACACAUAACCUUGGAUAUCGAUAGUCUCACAUUUAUCUUCUUCACUAGAGAGUCGCUCCAAAGUACCAUCACCUUUAUCACAUGAUUUUGAAGUGAUUCAUGUCUGCACUCCUUGAAAUUUCCAUGUCUGAAUUCUUUGGCUAUUAGGACCAUUUGAUGAAUAAAAUGUAAGAUCUCAUUAAAUUUUAUAUCAAGUAAAGGAAAAGUCAUAGCACGUCUAAAAAAAAAAUCAUCUGAUGAAGCCUCUGAUUCUUUGGGGCGAGUCUCUGGUAAAAACAGAAAGGUUAGACUACGGAUGUUCAGGGAUAGAGGGAAGACAUAUGAAUCUUUUGAAAUGAAUUAUUUGUUAUUUAAUGAGAUAUACUAGUAAGAAAAACAUUCUUGUUGGUUUUUUUUAAAAAAAAAUUGCUAAUAAUAAUAAAUGUUGUUUGAUCCAGUUUAUCCAGCAUCUGAAUGAUAUUUAUAGAAUAGUGAGAGUGAAACAUUAAUGCAUCUGGACGAGAUAUUGGUGAAAGUGAAAAAGUCGUAACAGAUGAAAAGGCAAGUUACACUCUGCACGAGAGUUUCGUGCAAAUCACAAAAAUUAUGCUUUUUUUGUUUGUAUAUUUCAAAGCACGAUCCUCGUGAUCCUUGCACAGAACUCUCGUGCAAAUAAGGAGUGUUACUCUCGUGAUCCCUACACAGAACUCUCGUGAGAUUGAGGAGUGUCACUUGUAUGUGCACGCCAUUGUCUUUGUUCUAUAUAUAUAUCGAUCAUGUGUUGGAUAUGCUGGAUCAAGUAACAUUUUAUAUUUCUUCACUAAUAACUCAUUUUCCGUGAUUUCAUUUAUAUCAACUUCUCUUUACUUGGUAUAACUCUAGUACCAUUGCUUGUGAUGGUGCUCCAGAAAGUUCCCCAAUAUGUUUUUAUUGAUAUAAAAAAUUACCUUUCUUUUAUUUUUGUUAAAUGCAUUGAGUGAGUGAUUUUAUUGAAGUUAAAUUGACCGUUGAAAUUGAACCGAAGAGAGGGGGUGUGCUACUAUAUAUCUAUUAUGUAGAUCGAUAUGGGCAUCUCAAAAUACGUAACAUAGUUGGAGGUUCAUCACACAGUGUGAGGAGCUAUUAUAAAGUUUCUCAGCGGCUUCAAAGGAUAUCAAGCCGCAAAUAAUUCAAAUAUAGCAGUGCAAUGAUGACACAAAUUACUGAUGAAUGUGCUGAUACUUUGGGCGAGCCUCUAGUGAAGAAGAUAAUUAUGAGACGAUAUUGAAGGCUACUAAGGAGAAAUGAUGAAAAGGAAAAAAUAUGUGAGCCUGAAUUGGAUUUGUCUCUUAAAACUCCACUUGAAGAUAAUCCAAUUAAUAAGUUUCCAACCAUGGAAGAAACAAUUGAUUUUAGAAGGAACCUUAAGGGAAGGGUUUUGAGUCAAGUAAGGGAUACAAUGUUCUUGAGUCUCUUUUUGCUCUUCUUUUUUCUACUUUAGAACUAGAGCAAACACACACAAAAAAACUAUAGAAAAGAGAAAAAGAUUUAACUUUUCCUUCUUUUUUUCUUAGAAUGUAUUAUUUCAUUUUGACAUGAGAUCAAACUGUUGAUAUGAAAGUUAACAUUGAAAUUGCAAAUAUUGUCUUGAAUCAAAGUUGAAAUUAUAUAUACUCCUUGUAAUAAGUGUCUUACUUAUAUCUAUUCAUUUCUUUGAAAUUGUACCACAGUAAAAACUUCCAAUUGUGACCUUUAGUAGUGUUGUAAAGUAACAUAAAAAUUGGGGCAACUCAAAAAAGAGUUGAAAACACAAGGGUAGUCCAAUUAAGAUAUUUUAUGCUAUUAGAUAUCAAAGGCCCGUGAAUUUCUCUGCCUUUUGUACUCUCUUAUUGUUUAAGCAAACAAAAAUAAGAGUACUCUCUCAAAUUGUAUUUAAGUGCUUUAAUAUUAAGUAAAAUUUUACAUUUAAUUUGUAAGAUUUGUUGAUAAUUUUUCACAUCUGGAUUAUAGACAAUUUAGGGGUGUGCAAAAAUUGAACAAUAAAAUGAUAUUGGUUUUGCUAUCGGGUUAUUGGAUUAACAUGUUUUAUUAAAAAAAUUAUCGAAUUAUUGAUUCGGUUUUGAUUUUUUAAUAUUGGGUUAUUGGUAAAUUGAUAUCCACUGUAGUAAUUUACUGCUUUACCCCUAUAUAAAUACUAAAUAUUAAUCUCAGUAACUUACUGGUUACUGCAUUUGCCCUAUAGUCUUUAAUUCACAUGACUUCACAAUGACUUUUCGUUAACAACUUCACAUUAUACAAAACAUCAAAAUAUAAAGUAAGAAUUUUAUUUCUCUUAAUUUGCACCUUUGUAGUUCUUUUCAUGUUGUUUAUUAAUGUUUUUAUUUUAUGAGUGUUUUCUAAAGUUUUAUCAUUGUCUUGUCCGUCAAAUUAUUGGAGAAGUCAUAUAUUUGUUUUGUAAGCAUUUCCUUAUUAGUUAAACUGAAAUGAAACUGUUAAGGACCAAAAUCGAUAAGUCAAAAAAUGAUAGUUGUGCAUAUCUUUCAUAUCAAAACCAGAGACGGACACUUCUAUCGUGGUUAGAAUUAAAUACAAGAUUCGAUAAACUCAAUAAUUUUUUAUUCAAAUUUUAUAUUUAUAUAAAUUUUUAAAAUUAAAUAUGCAUAAAUAUUUAGUACAAAUACAAUAACUAAGAUGGGUUGUAAGUGCGGUGAUAAAUUCAAAAUUCAUAAACUUUAAAUUUCAACUAGUUAAACAAUUUUUGAAGGAAUAGUAACAUAUGAGUAAGACUUCACUACCUAUGUACUAUAUUUGCUCUUAUUUAGAAAUGAGAGUGUGGCUGUACUAACACUGCACUCUAGAAUUGUACAAGACGCUUUGUUAGUUUUUCUAAAUUGAAAAUUCUCAAUUUUACCCUCUUUUUUUUCUCUAUAUUGAUGGUCUGUAUUGAUUUUUUGGUCCUUCUCCUUUGAACACGUGUACUUUAAAGUGUUCUUUCUUUAUCAUUCUCAAAUUCUUUGUUUCUUGGAAUUUCAGAAUAUGUUCGUUUGACUUAGUUGAAAAUUGAGGAAAUAAAAUUUCUAAAUUUACCUUGGUUUAAUUCUUCUUGGAGACCAUCAUUUACACAUUUCAAUCAUCAUGGAAUAACCUCUGAAGUUGUCUUUAGCUUUCUAUUUAUUUCAUUUUAGUUUAGUAUUUAGGGAUAAUAAUUGUUCAUAUUUGAUUUUCCUUCUUCAUGUUUUAUUGAUGGAAUCUAUGUGCUUUUCGUGUUGUUAUUGAAUCUGAAGGAAGAACUUCUUACACUACUAAAGUGUUUGAUGAAAUGUCCAAAACAAUUAAGCAGCUUUCUGUUUUAAAUGUUAAGAUCUUACUUUUGGAUAACUAAUAUUGCACAUGAUUUGCGCACCUACGUACGUCUUAAAAAUUAUGUAAACAAGCCUUACCAGGAAUAUAUCAUCAAUUAUAUAAUUUAUAUGCUAUUUAUUGAGUAGGCGUUAGUGGUAAGAGGGUGUUUGAAUUGACUUAAAAGUUGGUCAAACCUAUAUUUAAGUCAGUUUUUAACUUCUGAAAGUGUUUGACAAAUAUAUAAAAAAAAUAACUUAAAAUAAGUUUGGAGGUGUUUGACUAUGACAAAAAUGACUUAAGGUGUACUAACACUGCAAUCUAGAAUUGUACAAGAAGCUUUGUUAGUUGUACUAAAUUGAAAAUUCUCAAUUUUACCCUUUUUUCUUCUAUAUUUAUGGUCUGUAUUGAUUUUUUGGUCCUUCUCCUUUGAACACGUGUACUUUAAAUCCUUUGUUCCUUGGAAUUUUAGAAUAUAUUCGUUUGACAUAGUUGAAAAUUGAGGAAAGAAAAUUUCUGAAUUGACCUUGGUUUCUUCUUGGAGACCAUCAUUUUACACAAUUCAAUCAUCACAGAAUAACCUCUGAAGUUGUCUUUAGCUUUCUAUUUUUUUUCAUUUUAGUUUAGUAUUUAGGGAUAAGAAUUGUUCAUAUUUGAUUUUCCUCUUCAUGUUUUAUUGAUGGAAUCUAUGUGCUUUUGGUGUUGUUAUGGAAUCUGAAGGAAGAACUUCUUACACUACUAAAGUGUUUGAUGAAAUGUCCAAAACAAUUAAGCAGUUUUCAGUUUUUUCUUCUCAAAAUGGUGACUUCGUGGAAAGUCGGUGAGAUGCUUUCCUACACAUACGAUGAAGUAAUUAUAAUAUUUACUAUUUGUAUUUGGCGUAUAUAUCAAAAUUUUAAACCUAAUUCUAGCAACUAAAAGAAGGGGCAUUGUGAAACUUACCUCCAGCAUUUUCCCCCUAGGCCUGGCUUUGUGGUGCUCAGGAAGUAGACGAAUUUCAUCAGUUACGUUGAGACAUUCAGCAACAUUUUCAGGCGAGAUGAAGUGCAAAACAACGUUGAUGCAUGACUUGCCGCGGACAGUGAAUAGAAUCUUUUGUUAGUUGUUAUGCACUAAAAGAAAUAAAGUCCCUGUUAUAUCUGAGACUAGAAUCGCUUCAGUAUAUAAUAUGACACAAAUUGUUAGGCUAGUUUAAGGUUUCUUAAGACAUAGAAGAGCUAAUGAAACUAUGGAACAGUUCACAGCAUGUGAAAUCAGAACACGAAAAUAUGGAUAACAGAACUAGAAAAUUAUGAAUAAAAGUAAAUAGAUAUAGUAAUAUAUGACGGGAGGGAGUUGCUCGGAUGGUAAGCAUCUCUCACUUUCAGCUUGAAAGUUGUGAGUUCAAGCCACCAAGGAAGAAAAAAAGGAAGGAAGCAACUAGGGAGGGGUAAAAAAAAGAUAUAGUAGUAAAUAUAUUGUAAAAUCAAGUGCAAAACCAAAUUUUAUGAUUCAGAUGCAAAGUUGCAAUUAUUAAUUAAUAUGUAUGCCUCUAACAUUGAACAUCAAUCGAAAGACAACUACAUAUAGCUAUAUGAAUGCAUAACAAUUUAUUGAACAAGAUACGUUUAUUUAUAUGUGCAUAAACAAUAAAAGAAAAAUAAUAAUAAAUAGUGAUACAAGAAUAACAAAUAUUUGCAUGUUGUGUAAAUAGCCCUUUUUGUACCAAUACACCAAAAAUAAAUCAAGUUGAUUACUAAAAUAGAUCUAGAUUGUUAAUAAGAAGUGGUCUUACCUUCUAUAACACAGAAACGUCAAGUCUCUAUGAGGAAAUUGAAAUUCAACUUUUCUCAGUGAGAACACAGAUGAACUUUGCACAUUCACGUACGACACUUUCUGAUAAAACGAAAAUAUCAGGUCUCUAUGAGAAAAUUGAGAUUCAACUUUUGUCAAUGAGAACACAGAUGGACUUGGGCGACUCCACGUACAACACCUUUCGAUAACACGGAAAUGUCAAAUCUCUAUGAAAAAAUUGAGUAUCAACUUUUGUCAAUUAGAACAUAGAUGGGCUACGGCGCCUCCAUGACCUAUUUACAGGGUUGACUCUAGGGUUAGAAAAUGAGGUAUCUAUCUUAGGUCCUGAAAUUUGACGUGCCGUGUUUUAAAGCAAUAAAUAGAAUUAUUAUAGGUUUUCUUUAGAAAAAUUAUUUUGUAUUGUCUCAUUUCAAUUUGCUUGUCUUAUUUAUUUAUUUUAGUUUGUUUUAAAAAGAAAAAAAAAGAAUAGUUUUUUUGGCUAACUCUUUAAUUUUAACUUUCCAUAUUGAAUGUUUUAAACCACAUGAUUAAGUGACAUUUUAGUAUAUUUUACAUAUCUUUAGUUUAAGACUACAAAAAUUCAAAACAUAUUCUUUACUUUCUUAAUAAUCAAUGAUAAUUCAUAUAAUUAAAUCUAAAGCUAGGAGAGAAGGAGGAUUUUGAAGUGUUAAGUAUAUUUUGAAGAAAAUAAUGAUAUUUUGGUCCUAAAUGAAACAAAAGUGAUAUUUGAACACAAUUUGCAAUACUUGAGUGACCAUUUAUGGAACUAACUUCUAUUAAUAAUAUACAAAGUUAAUAUAUACUCCUUCUAUCCCAUUUUAUGUGAGAUAGUUUGACUUGACACGAAAUUUAAGAAAGAAAGGAAGAUUUUUAAAACUUGUAGUCCAAAAUGAAUGAUAGAAAUUUGUGUGGCUAUAAAUCAUUUCAAGAAGAGUAAAAUAGACAUUAUAUAGUUAAAUUGUUACUUAAUAUAGAAAUGUGUCACUCUUUUUGGAACGAACUAAAAAGGAAAGUAAGUCACAUAAAUUGAGACAGAGGAAGUAAUUAUUUUUCUAAUACACUCUACCAAACAACUAAAGAAUAUAAAAAAGGCUCUUGUACCAAAAAUACCUCCACCCUUUGCUUCACAAUUUUACGUGUAUGGAAAGUGGGAAACAUUCGGUCCCUCGGAAAUUACGUCCGAGGUGAAAUCACACCAAGUUCUCUGCUACUAGAAUCGGCCACACCUUCUCUCCCCAGAGAAAAUUAAUCAAAUAUUGCAAACGACGGGAAUGGUCUUCGAGUCCCCGUUGCUCCCCAGUAUACACGCAAGUGUAUGUGGUCGCUCAAGUAAUAUAGAUUCUUUAAGAAACGAGUUAUCGUUCCCAAGGGACUUAUGAUCGAUAUAUAUUUAACACUUAAUUCUACAAAUACAAGUAAAAGUAACCUUUUCAAGAAUUGAUGAUUGAUUGUUGACUACUACUAAUUAUGAACUAAAUGAAAGUAACUAAUUUUGAACGACUUUAAUAUUAUGUUUCAAGCAAGUUAAAAGCAAUUCCAGGGCUGCAACAUAUACUGAAUAUCAUGUAUCAUAGUAUCGGCCUAGAACUAAUUUCAGUUGUCAAGUUACUGAUUUAUAGGGUUAAUUAUAUGAGUCGGGCUAUACACCUCUCGUCGCCUACCCCAAUUAGCUACCUAACUACAUCGUUGAGCGGGGAUAAAUAGACUAAUUGGCGAGCAUUUAUAUUUCAUCAUAUUUCGUAACCAAGCGAGUUGUUCGUCCGGACGUCACUCCUGAACACAAAUCACCUCGACUUAACGGGUCGAUCAAGCUCUCUAUAUCCUCUGGUCUAUUUAACCUCUCCUCUCCCGAUUUUAAGGUUAAACAAUAGAUUUAUAAUGACAACCAAGAAUUAAUUCAUAAAGCCUUAAAUAAUCAACAAUCUAUUCGUAGCUAUAGCCCCAGAACUAGGGCAUUUAGCCAUUCAUGCUAUUAGAAAACAAGAAAAUACAAUAGUUCAUGCAAUUUCCAGAAAUUAGAAGAGUUGAAGGAUUAAAACAUAUUACAAACUUGAAUUCUUGCUCUUGCACACUAAAUCAAAAGUCGAACCCUUACUAAUGAACCCUAUGGGUCUAUUUAUAAUAAUUAGAAAAACUAAGACCCAAUCCUCAACCAAUAAGGAGUCAUAUUUAGUUGUAUUUUUGCUGGAAAAGUCGGCAUCAUGGUGGGGCGCCACGCCUAGCAUUGCGCCUGAAACUGGCCUCUGAAGUUUCCUCCUUGGCGCGCCGCGCCUCUCAAUCCGCCUGAGAGGCGUCUCUGAAUGUUGGCCCUUGGCGCCUCGCGCCUAGCAGUGCGCCUGGCCCUGGGGUCUUCAUCCUUAGCUGCUUUUCAUGCUCUUUUACGUCUCUUUUCUUCAAGUUGACUCUAAUUCCCUUGAGAGUUCCUGAAACAACUAAUCAUGUGUGUAAGUGUACAAUCAUUCCAAUUACACAAAAAAUUAAGCUAAUGACUAGAGAUCAUCUUUCAAUCUAAUUGAUUUAUGGGCAAUUAUUAACAACUUAGGCAUAUAAAUAUACCUAAGAUCAGUCCCCAUCCUAAAUCAUUCUAAUUUUGACCGAUUCCAUUUGAAGGUGGAAGUUAGUUUUUGAGUUUUUGAAUCAAAUAUUGCUCAUGUAUCUUUAUUCUUAUUUUACUCAGAGAUCACUAAUUUAGACAUCUUUAUCUAUAUGGAUUUGAGUCUCUUUUUCCCCCCAAUAAUAUAGUCUUUCUUUUAGUAUUUUUUUGAUGGAUGGUGCAUAAUUGUUCUUUGUCUUUCUUCAUGUUUCUUUGUUAAUUAUGUACAUAAAUUCGUUUGUUUGUUCAAACGCCUCUUAUGAAAUAAAAAGGCAGAAGAAAGAACUAAAUAAAUUUCCUAAACCUUUUUCUUGCAUCUAAAAUUUGUUUGUAUAAAUUUGUAUUGAAGAUAACUAGAAAAAUUAAACGGUUUUCUAAUCAAUAUCAUCCUAUUUUUUAUUUGUUUUAAACGGUUUUCUAAACAAAAUUGUCCUAUUUUUUAUUUGUAUAAUGUAUAUUAUCAUUUUUGAUUGCAGGUACCACAUGAAGAAAACUAAGAAGUCCAGAUUUUAGUUUAUUGUGUAUACUUCGUGAAAUGGUUCCGCCAUGUUUGUUGUCAGGAGCAACAAGAUCAAGUAGGGUGGAGGGGAACAUUUAAUUCUUUUUAUCUAUUAGUUUUCAGUUCUUAUCUUUGGCGUGUGGUAGAGCAAUCUAAUAGCCCGCAAGGCUCAUAACCUUGAGGUCACCGAAACUGCAGUUACUUUUCUAUCCUCAUUUUGUAGUCAUAUUCCUUUGUACAUAACAUGUUUGAUGAAAGUUAUGUUCAAAUUGUUAGAAGAAUGAUCCAUUGAUUCUUAGUAAAUAUGUUAUCAAAUUCUGUAACAUCCUAAAUCAAUGGAUUACAAGUGCCGCUGAAAGAAACAAAAGGAAAAUGACCUCUUCAACUACGAUUGACAAGAAAGGAAAGUAGCAGUGACAAAAUAUGCAACUUCAGGCAAGAUGUUGAAACUAGGAUCAC
rnacentral:lncRNA from 1 species